UACAGAGGGUGCGAGCGUUAAUCGGAAUUACUGGGCGUAAAGCGUGCGUAGGCGGUUAUUUAAGUCGGGUGUGAAAGCCCCGGGCUCAACCUGGGAAUUGCAUUCGAGACUGAAUAGCUAGAGUACGGUAGAGGGAAGUGGAAUUUCCGGUGUAGCGGUGAAAUGCGUAGAUAUCGGAAGGAACAUCAGUGGCGAAGGCGGCGACCUGGGUCGAGACUGACGCUGAGGCGCGAAAGCGUGGGGAGCAAACAGG
rnacentral:rRNA from 1 species